rfam:Bacteroides sp. CAG:633 genomic scaffold, scf312
GGUCCUAUAGCUCAGUUGGUAGAGCGGCACGCUGUUAACGUGAUGGUCGGUGGUUCAAAUCCAUCUGGGGCCG